UACGUAGGGGGCGAGCGUUGUCCGGAUUUAUUGGGCGUAAAGAGCUCGUAGGCAGUUCGAUAAGUCGGAUGUGAAAUCUCCACGCUCAACGUGGAGGGGCCAUUCGAUACUGUCGUGACUCGAGUCCGGUAGGGGAGUGUGGAAUUCCCGGUGUAGCGGUGAAAUGCGUAGAGAUGUGGAGGAACACCAGUGGCGAAGGCGACUCUUUGGCCUGUAACUGACGCUGAGGCGCGAAAGCGUGGGGAGCAAACAGG
rnacentral:rRNA from 1 species